rnacentral:rRNA from 1 species
GUUACUGCUAUCGGUGUUCGCCUAAGCCGUGCGAGUCAUAUGUUCUUCGGAACAUGGCGUACUGCUCAGUAACACGUGGAUAACCUGCCCUUGGGUCCGGCAUAACCCCGGGAAACUGGGGAUAAUUCCGGAUAACGCACAUAUGCUGGAAUGCUUUAUGCGUCAAAUGGAUUCGUCCGCCCAAGGAUGGGUCUGCGGCCUAUCAGGUAGUAGUGGGUGUAAUGUACCUACUAGCCUGCGACGGGUACGGGUUGUGAGAGCAAGAGCCCGGAGAUGGAUUCUGAGACAUGAAUCCAGGCCCUACGGGGCGCAGCAGGCGCGAAAACUUUACAAUGCGGGAAACCGUGAUAAGGGGACACCGAGUGCCAGCAUCAUAUGUUGGCUGUCCGGGUGUGUAAAAUACACCUGUUAGCAAGGGCCGGGCAAGACCGGUGCCAGCCGCCGCGGUAA